AGUAGGGAAUCUUCGGCAAUGGACGGAAGUCUGACCGAGCAACGCCGCGUUGAGUGAAGAAGGUUUUCGGAUCGUAAAGCUCUGUUGUAAGAAAAGAACGAGUGUGAGAGUGGAAAGUUCACACUGUGACGGUAUCUUACCAGAAAGGGACGGCUAACUACGUGCCAGCAGCCGCGGUAAUACGUAGGUCCCGAGCGUUGUCCGGAUUUAUUGGGCGUAAAGCGAGCGCAGGCGGUUAGAUAAGUCUGAAGUUAAAGGCUGUGGCUUAACCAUAGUACGCUUUGGAAACUGUUUAACUUGAGUGCAAGAGGGGAGAGUGGAAUUCCAUGUGUAGCGGUGAAAUGCGUAGAUAUAUGGAGGAACACCGGUGGCGAAAGCGGCUCUCUGGCUUGUAACUGACGCUGAGGCUCGAAAGCGUGGGGAGCAAACAGGAUUAGAUACCCUGGUAGUCCACGCCGUAAACGAUGAGUGCUAGGUGUUAGACCCUUUCCGGGGUUUAGUGCCGCAGCUAACGCAUUAAGCACUCCGCCUGGGGAGUACGACCGCAAGGUUG
rnacentral:rRNA from 1 species